UCUGACACUUCGGCUGCUUGACAACAACAUGACGCUUGAUGACAGUCACAACAACAUGUGCAGAUCCUGCAGAUGAGAUGACAGCUCUUAAUGGCACUUUAACAGCACAUAUUCCAGCACAGCUGCAAAUAAAACGACACACAGACGGAUCAAAUGUGUCACGCGACUCACCUAAUCAGUGAUGUGUUGUGGCCAACAGAAGCAGAGCUCUGGGACGUGUGGACAGACAUUGGCUGUAAUGAUGGUCAUCUGCUCAUGGACAGCAUAACCACUGCUGGUGAUUGUGCCGGAAGCUCCGGGGGGAGACCGCACUGGUAUCCCCCUCCUUUGGGCGCGCCAUUCACACUCACACCACAUUCACUCCGAUCGCAGAGACCUGGCUGGGAUCGAACCAGCAACCUCUGAACCCGUGAGGCAGCGCUCAUAUCUGUGAGCUACAGAUCUCUUGUUUGAAGAUAUAAAGGAACUUGUAUUUCACUGUUAUCCUGAGAGUUUCCAAUAAAGCAGUUAAAGUGAGAUUUGAACCCAUGUCUUCAUCACAGUCUAGUCCUCAGAGAACAUGUGUUUAUCCACUCGCCCAUCCUGGAUUUUCUACAACAGCUGCUUUUUGGCACACUUUGUCUAAUAAGAACAACUGAAAGUAAGCAAUAGUGGGAUUUGAACUCAGGACGCUGUGAUGGAAACACAACACUUUAUUUCCUGAGCCACUGAGACUACAGAGAUGACAAAUGUUUUGAACAGGUUUAUCCAGAGCUUUGUGUUAAAUGAUGAAUAACUUUAACAGUUGUGGGAUUUGAACCAGGACUCUCAUGUUUGAAAGGGAGACAACUAUCCACUGAGCCACAGAGCCUGUGAUGUACUCCUACUGUUUUUCAGGGGCGCAAGCGGCUUCACGUUCAUAACAUCUUGGGAUAUUGACAACAGCAAGAUGAUGAUGACACCAAUUUGACAGUCGCCACACCACGUUCUGAUCAUUUUACAGUCAUAAAAGUACAGAUUCUGCAGAUGACAGCUCAGUGACAGACUCAUAAAGUCACUCAACAGCCCAUAUUUCAGCCCAUCAGCAAAAUCAACUGACACACAUUGAGAUAAACGGCAAGAAUCGACCAUGUCACGCGACUCACCUACAAAAGAAGCAUGUUGUGGACAGACAUUCACUAUAAUGAUGGACAUCUGCUCACACAUAGGUUUGUAACGACAUGAGGAUAAGUAAAUGAUGACAGAAUUUUCAUUUUUGGGUGGACUAUCCCUUUCGGUACCCAAGUUUUAUUCACUACCCUACAACUCACUUUCAUCCUGUCCUCAACGUUAUUGGUGGAGAGAAUCACCAGAAUCACAGAGACAGAUUGAAGGCCAUAAACUCGAAUUCAACAGCAUGUGAGUCACACAGCAUUCAUUCAGCAGUGAAAGGUGAUGCGCAUAUUAAAGGGAUAGUUCACCCAAAAAUGAAAAUUCAUAAUUUACUCACCCUUAAGUUGUUCCAAACCUGUAUAAAUUUCUUUGUUCUGCUCUACACAAAGGAAGAUAUUUGGAUGUAGGGGUGGGAAUCUUUAGUCACCUCAUGAUCACGAUUCUGAUUCUGGGAGUCACGAUUCGAUUCCAAAACGAUUCUUGAUCUACUUUUUUUUUAUUAUUAAUUAAUUAGUUUACCAACUUAAAAACCUUAAAAUAAUUACAAAUUGAAAAAAUUUAAUUAAAACAAUUGUAUGUUAAGAAUUUUAAACUAAUAUAACUUCAAAACAUACAAGCAAGUAGCAAAUAAUAAACAGGAGCAACGAAACAUAUUACAAGUGAUAAACAAAUAGUGCUUUCAGUAUUUAAGAUUAUCUGAACGUUUUCUUUCUCAUGUUUACAGUCGUUUGAUUGUUACAUCA